CACAAAUAUGAAAGCAGACCCUCAUUGGGGCGUAACGUCACGCCGUGUCCGCAAUAGCGUCAUUGCUGUUGUGCUGACGCGGCGGGGGGUGGUGGGUAACGCCCUUUUGGGCCAGUCUGACUCCCUUGUCAUUAGUCGUACAAUGUUCCGUAGUGACCUGCGAGUAUCAUUACCUUCGUCCUUCCCCUUUUGCGUACCUCCGUUCCUUGGUGGCUUGCCCGCCAACUGGACCACCACUAACCCUUUGCAAUUGCAAUCAGCGUCAGAAAAACUAUAAUAAUUA
rnacentral:misc_RNA from 1 species